rnacentral:rRNA from 1 species
AUUGAACGCUGGCGGCAUGCUUUACACAUGCAAGUCGAACGGUAACAGGUUAAGCUGACGAGUGGCGAACGGGUGAGUAAUGCAUCGGAACGUGCCCGAUCGUGGGGGAUAACGCAGCGAAAGCUGCGCUAAUACCGCAUACGAUCUGAGGAUGAAAGCGGGGGACCGUAAGGCCUCGCGCGAUCGGAGCGGCCGAUGUCAGAGUAGGUAGUUGGUGGGGUAAAGGCCCACCAAGCCGACGAUCUGUAGCUGGUCUGAGAGGACGACCAGCCACACUGGGACGGAGACACGGCCCAGACUCCUACGGGAGGCAGCAGUGGGGAAUUUUGGACAAUGGGCGAAAGCCUGAUCCAGCAAUGCCGCGUGCAGGAAGAAGGCCUUCGGGUUGUAAACUGCUUUUGUACGGAGCGAAAAGGUCCUUUCUAAUACAAGGGGCUCAUGACGGUACCGUAAGAAUAAGCACCGGCUAACUACGUGCCAGCCGCCGCAGUAACAC